UAAGAUAUCUCGAACUUGUCGGCCAUUUUGUUCUCUUGCCGGUGGUUUGUUUCGUCCUCGCGGUUAACUUAUUCACGAAGGUCAAGAUGAGUUCAGUAACCCCUAUCCUUAGUUUCAAGAAAUUGGUAUCAUUGAGACCAUACGUAAAGGCACUUUGGGUUGAUCUUACUCCAGGACUCCUGCUCACAGGAUUUGUCAUGUCUUACAUCACAUUCACUGGAUUAAAAGCACAGAAAGCACAAAAGGAAAUAGAUACGGCUUCCAAACCAGCGCAUUAAUGAAGACCUGUGAUCUAUAUAGUUUGUGGUUUAUUAUUGAAAUGUGGUGAUAUAUCUAUAGUGUGGUGUGCCUGUUUACCAAAUUACAGCACUUUAGAAAUGUACAAUGUUUUAGUACUAUUUCAUUAAUUCGUUUUUGAAUCAACAAUAAAAUACUUGUAUGGUUGGUUGAUGUGAUAAAUUAAAUAAGAAUGGAUUAAACACCAGGUGAUGUAAGGAUA